GUUCAAUUUCCCUCAUGAUUCUCUGCCUCCUCCUUCCAAGUGGUCCAGGGGAACAGGGAAAGGGGCUGUGGCAAUUACCCCCAAGAAGGAGCUCAGAUGGGAUGAAAACACCUGUUUCCUUCUGGAAUCUGUGCACAUCUGCCCUUAAACGAAGUGAAAAUUUGGUGUGAGAACUCUUAAGGACUGAAUUACCGGGUUUUUUCUGCAGUGCUGCCUUCUCUGCAAUUAGCAGAGACAAAACUGGCAGCUGGAAGGAUUUGAACGAGGGGGAGCUGAGGAAUCUGAACACUUCCAAGGUUUUCUUGAGCUGCCAAAGGGAUUGGGCUGUUCCAGGGAGAUGGAGACUCAGCUUCUCCUCCUGGGAAGGGCCAGAGACAGCACUGGGCAGGUCCUGGAUCUGCAUGGCUGCAAUGUGUGUGACACCAGGGCCAGGCUGGACAGCCUGGGAGAACCCUGGGCUGGUGGGAAGUGCCCCUGCCCACGGUGGGGGUGGAAUAUAAGGAUUUUUAAAGUUCCUUCCAACCAAAUAAUUUAAUGCUGCUAUGAAAAUCAGGACUGUAAAAGCAUAGAACACAUCUAGAGAGUGCAUUCCUCUGCUGCCUGAGGCAGAAAUCCAGCAGACUUUGCUAUGUAUGACCAUUACAUAUAAUUUAUGUCCAUUACAUUUUAGCGUAUUUUUUUCCCCAUCUUUGCAGUGCACACAGCUUUGGAUUAGAGUGAUGCAAUACUCAGUGCCACUAUUAAAAAGAGCUGGAGAAUGAUGUUAGCAAUAUCUUUCAGCCCAAGAAAUGGAGAAACUCUAAAUAAGCAGCCUGCAAACAUGGUGUGCUCAGCCUCUACUAAAUUUUAGGAACUUAUGAUGUGAAAAAAACCCAAAAAAGUUUUGAUUUCCAAGCUGUUCUUUCUCUCCCUGACUCAGUGAUGGGUCUUCACUGCCAUCGUCUGCAGAGGUUAAUGUUCCCCGUUGUAAUGUUAAUAAAGUUGUUGGCUACACCCGAGGACGGUGCUUAAUGACACAAGGAGAG